GACGAACGCUGGCGGCGUGCUUAACACAUGCAAGUCGAACGGAAAGGCCCUGCUUUUGUGGGGUGCUCGAGUGGCGAACGGGUGAGUAACACGUGAGUAACCUGCCCUUGACUUUGGGAUAACUUCAGGAAACUGGGGCUAAUACCGGAUAGGAGCUCCUGCUGCAUGGUGGGGGUUGGAAAGUUUCGGCGGUUGGGGAUGGACUCGCGGCUUAUCAGCUUGUUGGUGGGGUAGUGGCUUACCAAGGCUUUGACGGGUAGCCGGCCUGAGAGGGUGACCGGCCAAGUGGGGAGGGGAAGCCGGCACGGCCCCCAGGGGGGGGAGGGAGGGGGAAAUUUUCAAAAAGGGGGGGAGCCUGGAGCAAGCCCCGCGGCGGGGGGGGGGGCGUCUUGGGGGUGGAAACCCGUUUCCCCGUGGAAGGGGGCGGGGGGGGCGGAAAUGGAAAAAAAAGCCCCGGAAAACUA
rnacentral:rRNA from 1 species